rnacentral:rRNA from 1 species
GCAUUCUAGAUACACUUUCCAGUACAUCUACUAUGUUACGACUUAUCUUACCUUAUUAAUAAGAGCGACGGGCGAUGUGUACAUAUUUUAGAGCUAAAAUCAAAUUAUUAAUCUUUAUAAUUUUACAACCAAAUCCACCUUCAAAAACUUUUUCAUAGUUUUAUUCGUUUAAAUAAAUUUAUUGUAACCCAUUAUUACAUAAAUAUAAGCUACACCUUGAUCUGAUAUAAAUUUUAAUAAAAAUUAUUGAAUAUUAUUAUUCUUAUAAAAUAUUCUGAUAACGACGGUAUAUAAACUGAUUACAAAUUUAAGUAAGGUCCAUCGUGGAUUAUCGAUUACAAAACAGGUUCCUCUGGAUAGACUAAAAUACCGCCAAAUUUUUUAAGUUUCAAGAACAUAA